GGAAGGAUGUAGAAGUGGCUGACAAGGCAGCACCCCCACAGCAGUUUAAUGCAAGUUGCAAAUUCCGAAAGAAGAAAAAGAAACAAAAAAACAAGAAAAACUCUGCUGGAGAAACUUCGG